CGUAAGCGCACGCAGGCGGUCUGUUAAGUUGGAUGUGAAAUCCCCGGGCUUAACCUGGGAACUGCAUUCAAAACUGACAGGCUAGAGUCUUGUAGAGGGGGGUAGAAUUCCAGGUGUAGCGGUGAAAUGCGUAGAGAUCUGGAGGAAUACCGGUGGCGAAGGCGGCCCCCUGGACAAAGACUGACGCUCAGGUGCGAAAGCGUGGGGAGCAAACAGGAUUAGAUACCCUGGUAGUCCACGCUGUAAACGAUGUCGAUUUGGAGGUUGUGCCCUUGAGGCGUGGCUUCCGGAGCUAACGCGUUAAAUCGACCGCCUGGGGAGUACGGCCGCAAGGUUAAAACUCAAAUGAAUUGACGGGGGCCCGCACAAGCGGUGGAGCAUGUGGUUUAAUUCGAUGCAACGCGAAGAACCUUACCUACUCUUGACAUCCAGAGAAUUUGCUAGAGAUAGCUUAGUGCCUUCGGGAACUCUGAGACAGGUGCUGCAUGGCUGUCGUCAGCUCGUGUUGUGAAAUGUUGGGUUAAGUCCCGCAA
rnacentral:rRNA from 1 species